rnacentral:rRNA from 1 species
AUGCGCCAGGAUUCUUUGCGGAGGCCGGCACCGCACCCGCCGUGCAACACUUCAAGGAACAAGUCAACUCGCAGCGUAGAGGCAGAGGAAAACAUACAAAACAAAUCGCACAACACGGCGAUUUCCGGCCCCCUUUGCCUCUUGGAGAAAAAGAUUUCCAGCUUCGACGCCCUUUAUAUCCCCGUGGCGGCCUCCCCAACCACCCCACCCGCCGCCCCGCCCCGCAUCGUCGGCAUCAUGUCCGAUCUCCGCGCCCCGGAGCACCAGGUCGCCGGCCACCGCGCGGCGCCCGACAAGCUCGGCCCGCUGGUCGACGGCGCCGGCCUCUUCUACAAGCCGCUGCAGGCCCUGGACCGCGGCGAGCAGGAGCUGGCCUUCUACACGGCCUUCUCCGCCCACCCCGACGUGCCGCCCCGCAUCCGGGACGCCUUCUUCCCGCGCUUCCACGGCACGCGCCUCCUCCCCACCGCCGCCUCCCCCGGCGAGUCCCACCCGCACCUCAUCCUCGACGACAUCCUCAAGGGCCUCGCCGCGCCCUCCGUCACCGACAUCAAGAUCGGCGCCUGCACGUGGCCCCCGCGCGCGCCGGAGCCCUACGUCGAGAAGUGCCUCGCCAAGGACCGCGGCUCCACCAGCGUCCUCCUCGGCUUCCGCGUGUCCGGGGUCAUGGUCUCCGACCCCAGCGGCGCCGUCUGGCGGCCCGACAGGUCGGAGCUCAAGGGGACCGACAUCCCCGGCGUCCGCCGCAUGCUCCGGCGCUACGUGUCGUCGGUCGGCGGCGAGGACUGCGCGCUGGCCGCGGCCGUGUACGGGGGCGAGGGCGGGGUCCUGGCGCAGCUGCGCGAGCUCAAGGCGUGGUUCGAGGUGCAGACGCUGUUCCACUUCUACUCGGCGUCGGUGCUGCUGAGCUACGACGCCAACGCGGUGACCGCGCCCGGCGGCGCGCCGAGGGUCAAGCUGGUGGACUUCGCGCAUGUGGUGGAGAGCGAGGGGGUGAUCGACCACAACUUCUUGGGCGGCCUCUGCUCCCUCAUCAAGUUCAUAGACGACAUUGUCUCUUCUGACAAGGCGCCUCCGGUUCAGUCUUGA